GAACGAACGCUGGCGGCGCGUUUAAGCAUGCAAGUCGGACGGCAAGCACUGUAGCAAUAUGGUGCCUAGAGUGGCGAACGGGUGAGUAACACGUAGGUGAUCUACCUCUGGAUGGGGGAUAGCCCGUGGAAACACGGGGUAAUACCGCAUGAGGCCUUUCGGGUAAAGCCGGGAGGUAAGAGGUGCAAUUGCACCGUCUGGGGAUGAGCCUGCGGUCCAUUAGUUAGUUGGCGGGGUAAUGGCCCACCAAGACGACGAUGGAUAGCCGGCCUGAGAGGGUGUACGGCCACACUGGAACUGAGACACGGUCCAGACUCCUACGGGAGGCAGCAGCUAAGAAUCUUCCGCAAGUGGGGGAAACCCUGACGGAGCGACGCCGCGUGGAAUGAUGAAGGCCGUAAGGUUGUAAAAUCCUUUUGUCGGUGAAGAAUAAUCGAGGGAGUGGAAAGCCCUCGAAAUGACGUUAGCCGACGAAUAAGCCCCGGCUAAUUACGUGCCAGCCGCUGC
rnacentral:rRNA from 1 species